UUAAGCGACUAAGCGUACACGGUGGAUGCCCUGGCAGUCAGAGGCGAUGAAGGACGUGCUAAUCUGCGAAAAGCGCCGGCGAGGUGAUAUGAACCCUUGACCCGGCGAUGUCCGAAUGGGGAAACCCAGUGCAAUCCGUUGCACUAUCGUUAACUGAAUACAUAGGUUAACGAGGCGAACCGGGGGAACUGAAACAUCUAAGUACCCCGAGGAAAAGAAAUCAACCGAGAUUCCCCCAGUAGCGGCGAGCGAACGGGGAGCAGCCCGGAGUCUGAAUCAGCUUGUGUGUUAGUGGAACGGUCUGGAAAGUCCGACGGUACAGGGUGACAGUCCCGUACACGAAAGCACACUUGCUGUGAACUCGAAGAGUAGGGCGGGACACGUGGUAUCCUGUCUGAAUAUGGGGGGACCAUCCUCCAAGGCUAAAUACUCCUGACUGACCGAUAGUGAACCAGUACCGUGAGGGAAAGGCGAAAAGAACCCCGGCGAGGGGAGUGAAAAAGAACCUGAAACCGUGUACGUACAAGCAGUGGGAGCCUCUUUAUGGGGUGACUGCGUACCUUUUGUAUAAUGGGUCAGCGACUUAUAUUCUGUAGCAAGGUUAACCGUAUAGGGGAGCCGAAGGGAAACCGAGUCUUAACUGGGCGUUAAGUUGCAGGGUAUAGACCCGAAACCCGGUGAUCUAGCCAUGGGCAGGUUGAAGGUUGGGUAACACUAACUGGAGGACCGAACCGACUAAUGUUGAAAAAUUAGCGGAUGACCUGUGGCUGGGGGUGAAAGGCCAAUCAAACCGGGAGAUAGCUGGUUCUCCCCGAAAGCUAUUUAGGUAGCGCCUCGUGAACUCAUCUUCGGGGGUAGAGCACUGUUUCGGCUAGGGGGCCAUCCCGGCUUACCAACCCGAUGCAAACUACGAAUACCGAAGAAUGUUAUCACGGGAGACACACGGCGGGUGCUAACGUCCGUCGUGAAGAGGGAAACAACCCAGACCGCCAGCUAAGGUCCCAAAGUCAUGGUUAAGUGGGAAACGAUGUGGGAAGGCACAGACAGCCAGGAUGUUGGCUUAGAAGCAGCCAUCAUUUAAAGAAAGCGUAAUAGCUCACUGGUCGAGUCGGCCUGCGCGGAAGAUGUAACGGGGCUAAACCAUGCACCGAAGCUGCGGCAGCGACGCUUAUGCGUUGUUGGGUAGGGGAGCGUUCUGUAAGCCGUUGAAGGUGUGCUGUGAGGCAUGCUGGAGGUAUCAGAAGUGCGAAUGCUGACAUAAGUAACGAUAAAGCGGGUGAAAAGCCCGCUCGCCGGAAGACCAAGGGUUCCUGUCCAACGUUAAUCGGGGCAGGGUGAGUCGACCCCUAAGGCGAGGCCGAAAGGCGUAGUCGAUGGGAAACAGGUUAAUAUUCCUGUACUUGGUGUUACUGCGAAGGGGGGACGGAGAAGGCUAUGUCAGCCGGGCGACGGUUGUCCCGGUUUAAGCAUGUAGGCGGAGGUUCCAGGUAAAUCCGGUACCUUAUUAACGCUGAGGUGUGAUGACGAGGCACUACGGUGCUGAAGUGAUAAAUGCCCUGCUUCCAGGAAAAGCCUCUAAGCAUCAGGUAACACGAAAUCGUACCCCAAACCGACACAGGUGGUCAGGUAGAGAAUACCAAGGCGCUUGAGAGAACUCGGGUGAAGGAACUAGGCAAAAUGGUGCCGUAACUUCGGGAGAAGGCACGCUGAUAUGUAGGUGAAGCCCCUGCGGGCGGAGCUGAAAUCAGUCGAAGAUACCAGCUGGCUGCAACUGUUUAUUAAAAACACAGCACUGUGCAAACACGAAAGUGGACGUAUACGGUGUGACGCCUGCCCGGUGCCGGAAGGUUAAUUGAUGGGGUUAGCGGCAACGCGAAGCUCUUGAUCGAAGCCCCGGUAAACGGCGGCCGUAACUAUAACGGUCCUAAGGUAGCGAAAUUCCUUGUCGGGUAAGUUCCGACCUGCACGAAUGGCGUAAUGAUGGCCAGGCUGUCUCCACCCGAGACUCAGUGAAAUUGAACUCGCUGUGAAGAUGCAGUGUACCCGCGGCAAGACGGAAAGACCCCGUGAACCUUUACUAUAGCUUGACACUGAACACUGGUCCUUGAUGUGUAGGAUAGGUGGGAGGCUUUGAAGCGUGGACGCCAGUCUGCGUGGAGCCAACCUUGAAAUACCACCCUUUAAUGGCUGGUGUUCUAACGUAGACCCGUAAUCCGGGUUGCGGACAGUGUCUGGUGGGUAGUUUGACUGGGGCGGUCUCCUCCCAAAGAGUAACGGAGGAGCACGAAGGUUGGCUAAUCCUGGUCGGACAUCAGGAGGUUAGUGCAAUGGCAUAAGCCAGCUUGACUGCGAGCGUGACGGCGCGAGCAGGUGCGAAAGCAGGUCAUAGUGAUCCGGUGGUUCUGAAUGGAAGGGCCAUCGCUCAACGGAUAAAAGGUACUCCGGGGAUAACAGGCUGAUACCGCCCAAGAGUUCAUAUCGACGGCGGUGUUUGGCACCUCGAUGUCGGCUCAUCACAUCCUGGGGCUGAAGUAGGUCCCAAGGGUAUGGCUGUUCGCCAUUUAAAGUGGUACGCGAGCUGGGUUUAGAACGUCGUGAGACAGUUCGGUCCCUAUCUGCCGUGGGCGCUGGAGAAUUGAGGGGGGCUGCUCCUAGUACGAGAGGACCGGAGUGGACGCAUCACUGGUGUUCGGGUUGUCAUGCCAAUGGCACUGCCCGGUAGCUAAAUGCGGAAGAGAUAAGUGCUGAAAGCAUCUAAGCACGAAACUUGCCCCGAGAUGAGUUCUCCCUGAGACCUUGAGUCUCCUGAAGGAACGUUGAAGACGACGACGUUGAUAGGUCGGGUGUGUAAGCGCAGCGAUGCGUUGAGCUAACCGAUACUAAUGAACCGUGAGGCUUAACCUU
rnacentral:rRNA from 2 species